GAUGAACGCUGGCGGCGUGCUUAACACAUGCAAGUCGAACGGGAAACCUUUUAAUGAAGCUUAGGCAGAUUUAGCUGGUUUCUAGUGGCGGACGGGUGAGUAACGCGUGGGUAACCUGCCUUAUACAGGGGGAUAACAGUCAGAAAUGACUGCUAAUACCGCAUAAGCGCACAGGACCGCAUGGUCCGGUGGGAAAAACUCCGGUGGUAUAAGAUGGACCCGCGUUGGAUUAGCGUGGUGGUGGGGUAACGGCUCACCAAGGCGACGAUCCAUAGCCGGCCUGAGAGGGUGACCGGCCACAUUGGGACUGAGACACGGCCCAGACUCCUACGGGAGGCAGCAGUGGGGAAUAUUGCACAAUGGGGGAAACCCUGAUGCAGCGACGCCGCGUGAAGGAAGAAGUAUCUCGGUAUGUAAACUUCUAUCAGCAGGGAAGAUAGUGACGGUACCUGACUAAGAAGCCCCGGCUAACUACGUG
rnacentral:rRNA from 1 species